GAUGAACGCUGGCGGCGUGCCUAAUACAUGCAAGUCGAGCGAACAGACGAGGAGCUUGCUCCUCUGACGUUAGCGGCGGACGGGUGAGUAACACGUGGAUAACCUACCUAUAAGACUGGGAUAACUUCGGGAAACCGGAGCUAAUACCGGAUAAUAUAUUGAACCGCAUGGUUCACUAGUGAAAGACGGUUUUGCUGUCACUUAUAGAUGGAUCCGCGCCGCAUUAGCUAGUUGGUAAGGUAACGGCUUACCAAGGCAACGAUGCGUAGCCGACCUGAGAGGGUGAUCGGCCACACUGGAACUGAGACACGGUCCAGACUCCUACGGGAGGCAGCAGUAGGGAAUCUUCCGCAAUGGGCGAAAGCUUGACGGAGCAACGCCGCGUGAGUGAUGAAGGUCUUCGGAUCGUAAAACUCUGUUAUUAGGGAAGAACAAAUGUGUAAGUAACUAUGCACGUCUUGACGGUACCUAAUCAGAAAGCCACGGCUAACUACGUG
rnacentral:rRNA from 1 species